AGUGAACGCUGGCGGUAGGCCUAACACAUGCAAGUCGAACGGCAGCACAGUAAGAGCUUGCUCUUACGGGUGGCGAGUGGCGGAAGGGUGAGGAAUACAUCGGAAUCUACUUUUUCGUGGGGGAUAACGUAGGGAAACUUACGCUAAUACCGCAUACGACCUACGGGUGAAAGCAGGGGAUCUUCGGACCUUGCGCGAUUGAAUGAGCCGAUGUCGGAUUAGCUAGUUGGCGGGGUAAAGGCCCACCAAGGCGACGAUCCGUAGCUGGUCUGAGAGGAUGAUCAGCCACACUGGAACUGAGACACGGUCCAGACUCCUAAGGGAGGCAGCAGUGGGGAAUAUGGGACAAUGGGCGCAAGCCUGAUCCAGCCAUACCGCGUGGGUGAAGAAGGCAUUCGGGUUGUAAAGCCCUUUUGUUGGGAAAGAAAAGCAGCAGGUUAAUACCCCGCUGUUCUGACGGUACCCAAAGAAUAAGCACAGGCUAACUUCGUG
rnacentral:rRNA from 1 species